CCUGAAUCCCAGAGGCAUUGCAUGUGUGUCUUUUAUGUCAUAUGAGUGUCGGUAGGAGGCAGAGAAGAGACUAUGUCCAUGCUCAGCUCACAGUCCUGACCUAUGAAUAUCUGAAAAAUUAGCAGCCUAACAUU